UAGGGCGCGGGCCGCUAGCGCGGCUCCCCGACCAUGGCGAAGAAGCGGGGCCAAGACGAAGACCCCGGUCCCAACCCAUCGGUGCUGUUCCUGCACCCGGACCUGGGCGUGGGCGGUGCCGAGCGGCUGGUGCUGGACGCGGCACUGGCGCUGCAGGCGCGCGGUUGUAGCGUCAAGAUCUGGACCGCGCACUAUGAUCCUGGCCACAGCUUCGCGGACAGCCGCGAGCUGCAGGUGUCUGCUUGCAUCCCAGUGCUCAAGCUGGCCAGACGGCCCAAGAAGAUCCUGUUUUAUUGUCACUUCCCAGAUCUGCUUCUCACCAGGAGAGAUUCUUUUCUGAAACACUUAUACAGGGCCCUAAUUGACUGGAUAGAGGAAUACACCACAGGCAUGGCGGACUGCAUCUUAGUCAACAGCAGGUUUACAGCUGCCGUUUUUAAGGAAACAUUCAAGUCCCUGUCUCACAUAGAACCCGAUGUCCUCUACCCAUCUCUGAAUGUCACCAGCUUUGACUCCACUGUUCCUGAAAAGCUCGAUGACCUCGUCCCCAAGGGGAAGAAAUUCCUGUUCCUCUCCAUCAAUAGAUACGAAAGGAAGAAAAACCUGACUUUGGCACUGGAAGCCCUAGGAAAACUGCGUGGAAGGUUGACAUCCCAGGACUGGGACAAGGUUCAUCUGAUCAUGGCAGGUGGUUAUGAUGAAAGAGUCCUGGAGAAUGUGGAACACUAUCAGGAAUUGAAGGAAAUGGUCCAGCAGUCCGACCUUGGACAGUGUGUGACCUUCCUGCGGUCUUUCUCAGACACACAGAAGAUCGCGCUCCUCCAUGGCUGUACCUCUGUGCUUUACACACCAAGCAACGAACACUUUGGCAUCGUCCCUUUGGAGGCCAUGUACAUGCAGUGCCCGGUCAUUGCCGUGAAUUCGGGUGGGCCCUUGGAGUCCGUCAUCCACGGCGUCACAGGGUUUCUGUGUGAGCCUGACCCAGUGCAUUUCUCAGAAGCGAUGGAAAAGUUCAUCCACGAGCCUUCCCUAAAAGCCACAAUGGGACUGGCAGGGAGAGCCAGGGUGAAGGAAAAGUUUUCCUCUGCAGCUUUUACAGAACAGCUCUACCAGUAUGUCACCAAACUGCUGGUAUAAUCCCACUUUUUAAAGGCCUGUAUGCUGUAUUCAUUAGUACCAUUUUUUUGUAGACCGUAGCCUCACUUUUGAAACCGAAAAAGAAACCUAGAGUCCACUGCAGAAGCGAUUAAAAGAAAAAUAAACUUGAAUCUUGAAUCUGAG